AGUGGAGCAGCCAUGCAACGGGCCUCCCGCGGGCAAUCAACUUGGUACUUCUCUUCAUUUUUUAUUCUUUUAUUUUGUCUUUGCGCUCACAUUUUUUCUUAACCUUAAGUUUUUGAUGUUAAACCAAAGCUCCCAAAUUUCUGGGUUUCUCUCUACCGCUUUUGGUAGUUUCAGUAUCCCUCUUCCGUAUCAAGCUUACAGCUUCCCAAUUUUCCUCAAUUCUGCUUGAGAUGAGGACGAUUCCCUGCAAACCAGGUUCCCCUUCCGUGGACGCACUCUUCUUAACCCCAAACGCUGCUAUUCUCGGUUGUUUAUUCUGUCUUAGCUAUCUUUCGUCCUUCCCAGCUUAACCCUAAAGUGGGUUUGGGCUUUGUUCGCACCAUCUCACCUGAUUGUUCCUUCUUCUCGGGCAUCCACUGUUUACCCCGAAAGGUCGGGCCCUGCUUCCCUGCCCUUUCACCCAGGCCGACUUCCAUCGCCCGCCCCAUUCCUUCCAUCGCUCCAUACAUCCUUGCAUGUCUUCUUCUCUUGCAUUCCCCUUGAGAUGAGGGCCCUGCUUCCUUGCCUUUUUACCUCAGUCAAUUCCAUCGCUCGUUCCCCUGUCUUGCCCUCUUCCACUAGGCCGGUGUGGCGUGAUGUUCAUUCGGAACCUAUGUAAAGGAGACAGGUAUGCCGGUUGUUCCAUCUUUACCUAUAGUCCGUAUAGAAGGCAAUGUUUCCGGAUUUAGUACUGGGUCUUGUCUAUUGUGAGGUCUCUAGCCGGGAAUAUUCUGUGCUGUGAUAUUUGGAUAACUUUACCAUGGAGCCUUUUAGUAGGAUGUGAUAUGGCCGAGUUAAAUUCUGAAGAUAGCAGAUUUGAGGCGUUGUGUAAGAGCUUGGGUCACCUAUGGUCCGACAGCGAUGUUAUUGAAGUUAAUGAUGGCAUAUCUGAAGAAAAACUAGCUGAAUGUAGGCUGACUUUGCUUGGCAAACUCUACUCUAGACCCAAUGUCAAUUUACAAGCCUUUAUCAAGACUAUGAAAUGGGCAUGGAAGAUGGAGAAUGUAGCUUGUACCUUAUUAGAACCUGGUUUCUUCUCCUUUUCCUUCAAAUCAAAUGACGAGAAGCAGAAAGUACUAGAUGCUGGCCUGUGGUCUUUUUCCAGCAACCUCCUUGUGCUCCGGCAAUGUGAUCCUGAUAUACCAGAAAUGUGUUAUGAUUUCUCACAAUGCUCCUUUUGGGUUCACUUAUUUGGCUUACCCUUCGGCCGGGUAACAACGGAUGUUGUACGGGAGAUUGCCUCGAAGAUUGGAGAUGUCUUGGAAGUUAAACUGGAAGCAAAAGGCAACAAUACUUAUAAGGUUGGGAAAGCCAGAAUUAACUUGAAUCUAGCGACGACUCUUAAAACAGGGGUUAUCAUCAACUUGGGCAACAAAAAAUUGUGGAUUGAAUUUAAAUAUGAAUGGCUACCGCAUUAUUGCUAUUUCUGUGGUCGCAUCGGACACUAUGCAACGGCCUGCAAAGAGAUACCCUACGAGACUACGAGGCUAGAGGAGGACUUACUAGGUAACUUCAGAAACUGGCUGCGAGCUGAAGUCCGGGAGAUGAGCCCAUAUGGCAAGCUCUUUUAUGGUAAAACUACCCCACUCCUUGACGCGGUAGAAAUGGUUCCAGAGUCUUCUUUUGACAUAAAUACUCAAGCAAUUCAGCAGGCCAACAUUGUGGCAGAGCAGCCUAGCCAACAUAUCCACACCCAACAACUCCUGGAGGAGAGUUCCUCUCAACAUGCCGACCAAUCCCAAUACUCUCGGGCCAUAUCUAUCAUAGAAGGACAAACACCUCAGAAGAGAGAUGGUAGAUGUUUAGAUGCGGACUCUACAAUGAUUAUAUAUAAUGAACAUCUUAAAGAAGUGGAAAAUGACAGGCAAUUGGCUUUUGAGACUGAAAGAGCCCUAACUAAGGGCAAAGGUAGAUCUACCGAGCUCCCUUCGGCUAAAAAGAGUAAGAGGUUCCGCCCGUAUGGUACUCAUCCCUCAAAGAUUAUGUUUGCUUCUAACUCAUAGCUAGUGGACAUCCCGGUUAUUGAGGAAACGAAUUCAGCAACAUGGGCUGUGGUGGCUAGCCUUAAUAAGCCACCGACUCAAUCAUGAAACUACUAAGCUGGAAUUGUCAAAGGUUGGGUUCUCCCCUGAAAAUCCAGGCUUUACAAGUCCUUGUGACUCAGGAAAGGCCAAUAUUAUAUUUUUAAUGGAAACUAAAAACCAAGAGCAAUCGGUGCAACGUAUCAGAAGACAUCUAAAGUUCCCACACAGUUUUUUGGUAAACCCAAAAGGACUUUCAGGGGGUUUGGCUCCUUUUUGGGAUGACUAGGCGACCCUUUCUUUGGAAUCGCAUUCUAAAUAUUUUCUCAAUGUACAUUGCCUUCUCAAUGAUAGUAGACAGGUUAUGCAGAUCACUUUCCUUCAUGCUCCUAAUGCUUUUUAGGAUAGGUAUUACUAUGGGAUGAGAUAUAUCGUAGAAGUACCAUAAACCAUCUUCGUUGGCUCUGCAUUGGGGAUUUUAAUGACAUUCUGUACCAUUAGGAAGAAGUGGGCAAGAGGAUGGCUGAUCAUUUUCGUCUUACAGCUUUCAGAGAUUUUCUAGAAUCAUGCUCACUAAUGGAUCUUGAGAGUAAAGGGUGAGCUUUUACAUGUUCAAACAGAAGGGAUGGCGAUGAUAACGUUAGAGAAAGGUUGGACCGAGCUCUAAGCACCAUGGACUGGAGAAUAGCCUAUCCAGAUGUAGAAGUGACAGCCCUACCAGCUAUCGGUUCUGAUCAUAGUCCUCUUCUUCUAUCAACCAUACCUACAGUGCAACGCAAGCAGAGAGAGUUCAAAUACGAAGCUUUUUGGGCUGAAGAUGAGGAUUGUGGGCGGCUUGUCAGGAAAACAUGGGAGGCUUCCAGUAAGAAGAAUAUGGCUGUGAAACUACAUAAAGUUGCAAUUCACCUAGCGGUGUGGAGUAAAAAAUGAUUCCCUAAUGCUUAUCAGGAAAUUGAAGCAAAGAAAGAUGAACUUAAAGAUCUGAUGAAUAACCCUAGAUUGCAAUAUAAUCAGAGUCGUAUUCAUCAACUCAACAAGGAGAUUGAAGCACUUUGGCAUCAAGAAGAGAUGUUUUGGGGAAUGAGAUCUAGAAUUAAGUGGCUCAAACGGGGGGAUCGAAAUACAAAGUUUUUUCACGCCACAACUAUACAACGGCGCAACAGAAACCACAGUUCCAUGUUGAUGAAUGGCGAAGGAGAUUGGGUCAGAAAUCCUGAAACUCUCAAGGACAUGACGAUCGAAUUCUUCAAAACUCUUUACACUGUAAGGAGCCCUAGGAAUAUUCAACCUAUUAUUCACCAUAUCCCCACCUCUGUUGAUACAGAUAUGAAUCUCAAACUCACUAAACCAAUUACUAUGGAAGAAGUCUAUGCUGUGACUCACCAGUUGGGCGCCACCAAAGCUCCUGGACCAGAUGGGUUGACUGGUCUCUUUUUCCAGCAGCAUAGGUAGGUAAUAGGUCCAGCAAUCCUUCGGGAGAUGCUGUUGGAGAAAUCUUCUUGAAGUGUUUUGAAGUUGACAAAACGUUUCUAUCAGUCUAGUCUGAAGGCUUGCAGACUCUGUUAUUUAAAGUCUGAAGACCUCCGAACAGCCAGACUCAAGACUCAAAGUCUAUCCUCAUUGACAAUCUCUAAUCCGUUGAAGAAAGGUUAUCCAGAACUGGAUGUUUCGUUAAGGAUUUAACCUUAUCAACUGGAGAAGAUCUCGUGGCUGGAAAAGACAUAACGGAGUCCUUUGAUUGAUCGAAGAUUGACUCGAUAAUUGAAGAUCCGGUGAUUGUCUAAAUAUUAUUGGAAGGUUCUACUUAUGGAAACCGAGAUCCUGAUUGUAUGGGCGAAUAGGAUUGAUGGACUAUCAACACGUUCCUUUAAUAGCUUGAACAAUCUUCCUAAUUGAUUCCGUCCAACGGGUAGAUUGGAGGAAUUCCUUUGGUAAGUGCCAACGGGUAUGAUGGCAUAAAGGAGUAUAUAAGGAAGACGGUCUUAGUUGUUCAAGGAGUGCGCGAUAGAAGAAUUCCAAAGUCUGAAGCUCCUUUUUGUUUAGACAAUUCCUUUGAGCGAAUACUUGUAUACAAAAGAGAGUCUAUAUUUGUGAGAAAUCUUGAGGAGGUGUUGUAGAACAUCUACACUGUGGAAUCAAGGCAAAGCUGUGCUGUAACUUCUCUUUUGUUCAUAGUGGAAUCCAGCCAAUAGGCCGUCAGUGAAGAAGAGUGGACGUAGGCUUGAUAUAAGCCGAACCACUAUAAACCGCGUGUUCAAUUUUCUCUUCUCUCAGUCUUACUUUGAUUAUCGUUUGUCUAAAAUCCAUCAACUGUCUAGUAUUGUGCGAUUGUUGAAGAAAAAUCUUUUAUAUACCUAUUCACCCCCCUCUAGGUACUCAUACUAGCAAUAUCAAUUGGUAUCAGAGCCUGUGUACUCACUUUGUUUGAAGUGUUUUACUUCAGAGUUAAAGAUCCAUGGCUAGUAUGCUAGCACCAGGGCUGAUGGAAGGGCAAAGCUAUACCAGACCACCCUACUUUGAUGGAAAGGAUUACAACAUCUGGAAGAACAAGAUGAAAGCUUUCCUACGAUCAAAGGAUCCUCUGGAAUGGGACGUUGUAGAAAAAGGAAUUACUCCUACCACUGCAUCAGUCUCUGAAAGUGGGAAAGAAACUGAUGAGACCAGCGGAAUGACUCAGGAAGAGAUAAUCAAGAGACAAGCACUCGAUGCAAAAGCAAUUUACUCCUUAUAUUGUGCUUUGUCACCAACUGAAUAUAAUAGAAUAUCUUCUUGUGUUACAGCAAAAGAAGUUUGGGACAGAUUGCAUAUCACCUAUGAAGGAACAGAUCGAGUGAAGGAAACAAGAAUCAACAUUCUUCUCGGUCAAUACGAAGCCUUCAGAAUGAAACCAGGAGAAUCUAUAACUGAAAUGUUUAGUCGUUUUACAGAUAUUGUGAAUGGUCUUGAAAAUCAAGGUCAACCAAUUUCUGAUCCCAUGAAGGUAAACAAGCUACUGCGUGGACUCUCCAAGGAUUGGAAUCACAUAAAGACUUCGAUAAGAGAGACGCAAAGAAUUAUGCCACUAUCUGUCGACGAGCUGAUUGGAACUCUUCAGUCUUAUGAAGUGGAACGGAUCAAUGAAGAUGAAGAUCCAAAAGGUAAGAAAUCCAUUGCAUUAAAAUCAAAUGAUGAUUCUGAUGAUACAGAUUCUGAAAAUGAUAUGGACGAUGAGGAGCUUGCUCUCAUGAUAAGAAGAUUCAGAAAACUGAAUAGAAAAGGAAGAAGGUUCAACUCAAAGAAACAAAGCUUUCAAAGACAGCAGACCAAGUCUGUUGAUGAUGAGGAACCAAACAAAGAUGUAGUCUGCUUUGAAUGUAAGAAAAAGGGACACAUCAGACCCAACUGUCCUCUUCUGAAGAAGAAGAAAGGAAAAGCUGAAAAAUUUCGAAAAGCUCUCAAAGCCAAAACCUGGAGUGAUACAGAGUGUGAAGAAAGUGACAAUGAAUAUGCCAAUCUAUGUCUGAUGGCACAAUCAGACUCAGACUCUGGAUCAGACUUAGACAGUGAAUUUGAGGCAAGUAAUUUUAAAAUUCCUAUCAAAGUUUCUAAAUACAUUGAUGAACUGUGUUUUAGUCUUAAGACUUCUCUCAAAAGAAUUUCCGAACUGAAAAAGGAAAACUCAGCUCUAAAACAAAAGGAAAAUGUUUUAGUAGAAAGAGUUAAAAGUCUAGACUUGACUGUUUCCACUCUUAAAGAUAAUGAAGAUAAUCUUUUAAAAGAAAAUGCUCUUUUAAAAACAGACUUAUCAAAUAUUUUAAAGAAAUUUUCAAUAGGGUCUGAAAAACUUGAAAAAAUUCUUUCAGCUCAAAGACCUUACUUCAAUAAGUCCGGUCUAGGUAUGACAGCAGAAACAAUUCCCUUGAUUGAUUUUCCUAAAGUAAAAGAAAGAAUUAAGAAAAGACUCUCAAGAGAGACUUACAAAAAUCAUUUCAAGAAAGUUUUUGUAAAAUCUGUAGGUAGAAAUGCUCUCAGAUGUUCAAAAUGCAACAGUCCAGAUCACUUUGAAAAAGAGUGUCCUAAGGUUUGGAAACCUGUUAAGAAAAUAUGGGCUAAUACUGCUUAUGUUACUAACACCAAAGGACCCAAGAAAGUUUGGGUACCAAAGAAAGCUUGAGACUUUAUUUUUAAAUGCAGGUCACCGUCAAGAAAAAUGUAAAGUGGUAUCUUGACAGCGUAUGCUCAAGACACAUGAUAGGAGACUCAAAUUGUUUUAUAAAGCUUGCUCAAGUAAAUGGUGGAAAAGUUUCAUUUGGAGGAAACAGCAAAGGAAGUAUUGUGGGAUUUGGAACUGUGAAAAUUGGAAAUCUCACAAUAAGUAAUGUUUCCUUAGUGGAAGGACUCAAUUACAAUCUUCUCAGCAUUAGUCAAUUGUGUGAUACUGGUUUCAAGAUCUUCUUUCAAGAAGGAAUAUGUUCUGGAAUCAGUAAAGACUCUACUCAGUCUUUCAUGGGUCGAAGACAUGGAAACAUCUAUCUUCUGGAUGUGAAACCAAAUGAAUCGCAAUGUUUUAUCUCAAUUCAAGACAAAGCAAGCUAUGGCACAAAAGCUUGGUCAUGUCAACAUGAGCAUAGCAAAUCUCAUCAAAACAGCUUGUUCGUGGACUACCNNNNNNNNNNNNNNNNNNNNNNNNNNNNNNNNNNNNNNNNNNNNNNNNNNNNNNNNNNNNNNNNNNNNNNNNNNNNNNNNNNNNNNNNNNNNNNNNNNNNNNNNNNNNNNNNNNNNNNNNNNNNNNNNNNNNNNNNNNNNNNNNNNNNNNNNNNNNNNNNNNNNNNNNNNNNNNNNNNNNNNNNNNNNNNNNNNNNNNNNNNNNNNNNNNNNNNNNNNNNNNNNNNNNNNNNNNNNNNNNNNNNNNNNNNNNNNNNNNNNNNNNNNNNNNNNNNNNNNNNNNNNNNNNNNNNNNNNNNNNNNNNNNNNNNNNNNNNNNNNNNNNNNNNNNNNNNNNNNNNNNNNNNNNNNNNNNNNNNNNNNNNNNNNNNNNNNNNNNNNNNNNNNNNNNNNNNNNNNNNNNNNNNNNNNNNNNNNNNNNNAUGAGAAAGGAAAAGUCGUACGAAACAAAGCAAGACUCGUGGCCAAGGGAUAUACGCAAGAAGAAGGAAUAGACUAUGAUGAGACUUACGCUCCAGUAGCAAGGGUUUGAAGACCCAAAGAAGCCAGACUCAGUCUUCAGACUGAAAAAGGCUUUGUAUGGUUUAAAGCAAGCACCUUGGGCUUGGUACAACAGAUUAAGUAAGUUCUUAAUACAAAAUGGUUUUGUCAAAGGUAAAGUAGAUACGACUUUAUUUAUCAAAAAGGAAAACAAAAGUUUCUUACUUGUUCAAAUAUAUGUGGAUGACAUUAUUUUUGGAUCCUCUAAUGAAAAUCUAUGCAAGAAAUUUUCUAAGUCUAUGCAGGAUGAGUUUGAAAUGAGUAUGAUGGGAGAGUUAACAUUCUUUCUUGGUCUUCAAGUAAAACAAUUGAAGGAAGGAACUUUUAUUUAUCAAGAAAAAUAUGUUAAUGAUCUUGUCAAAAGGUUUGGACUGGAAAAGUGCAAAAAGACCGACAUACCAAUGUCAAGUUCUUUAAAGAUAGACAAAGAUGAAGAAGGGAAGAAAGUUGAUCAAAAGCUGUACAGGAGCAUCAUUGGUUCACUUCUUUAUCUUACUACUUCUAGACCUGACAUUUUGUUGAGUGUUUGCAUCUGUGCUAGGUUUCAAUCAGAUCCUAGAGAAUCCCAUCUCAGUGCUGCGAAACGCAUCAUUAAAUACGUUGCUUCAUCAUCAAGCAUCGGUCUUUGGUAUCCUAAGAAGGGAGACUUUGAUCUUCUGGGAUAUUCAGACGCAGAUCUGGCCGGUUGCAGAGUUGAUAGAAAGAGCACUUCGGGAACUUGCCAGUUGCUUGGAAGUAGGACAGUGUCUUGGUUUUCAAGGAAACAAAGCACUGUGUCUCUUUCAACAACAGAAGCUGAGUAUGUAGCCCUUGGAAGUUGCUGUUUGCAAAAUCUAUGGAUAAAACAACAACUAAGAGACUUUGAAAUUGAAGACUCAUGCACGGAGAUUAAUUGCGACAACACCAGCGCUAUCAACCUCACCAAAAAUCCAAUUCUCCAUUCAAGAGCAAAGCAUAUAGAGAUUCGACAUCACUUUAUUAGAGACCAUGUUCAAAAUGGAGAUGUUUCAAUUCAAUUUGUUAACUCAAAGAAUCAACUGGCGGAUAUAUUCACAAAGCCUUUGGAGAAAAAUCAAUUUGAAUCUAUACGUUCCAGACUCAACAUUUUGAGGUAUGAGGAUAUCAAAGUCUAAAGACUUUCAGACUCAGACUUACAAGACUUUAUCUGAAAGAUAGUCUUGGUAUGACCGUCAGACUGUAAGUCUUUCUCUCCUUAAUCUCAUCUUGAAAAAGUACGAUCGUCAGACUGUGUUUAAAUUGUUGCUAUAUUUAAUUGACGUAAAUAUUGCAUCGUUUCAUUUUCAAAAAGGAAGUUAUUUUUGAAAUGGCUAUUUUUGCGGAAAAAGACAGUUAUUUUGAAAAGCCAUUUUUUUAUUUCCUUUGUGACGGUUCGUUUUUCCCUCUUUUUAACCGAUCGUGCACUGUCGAUUCCUCUUCACUUUACUCUCGAAAACCCUAGAAAGCAUCGAUCCUCCAUUCCCGUUUGUCUUCUUUGUUUAAUCUUCAAAAAGUUGUCAUCUUUCCUGGGAAAGUCAAGCAAGGAAUCUUCCAAAAAAACUGAGAAAGAUGUCAUCUUCAAGAAAGUCUUCAAGAAUCGCAAGCAAGGGACCACGGCGAAUGAGUGAGGGGCCUACACACUUCGAUCUUACUGAAGAAGAAGUGACUCCAGAACAGCAAGCGAGCCCACAACUUUCUCAGCAGCGUCAUUCUCCUCCAUCUAGUCCUCAAGGCGUUGAUCAUCAACAACAGGAAGAAAUCAUCGAAGAUGCAGACCCUACAAAGGACAUGGGAACGAAUAUAUCUUUCUAUGAAAAAUUGAAAGUUUGGGAAUUGCUCGUAAAGGGGUGGCUGAGGAAACCCUUGCAAAUAUCCCAAGUGAUCCUCGUGACUGGGGGCCGAAUCUUGUAGAUGGGAAUGAUGAUGACAAAUUGUACAGUCAAUUUCAACCGAAAAUGGGUGUUGCGGUUGAAAAUCAAGGAAAAAGGGGAGAUUUGUUCAGAUCGAAGGAGCAAAAGGAUCUGUACUCGAAAUUACUGAAGCGUGGGGUAAUAAACCCUAGGAGUGUGGAUUUUGAUUUUCUGGAUGCUGUGAACGUGAACUUGAGGGAAAAGUUCAGUUAUCUUCAACUUGAAAAGUUCUGCUCUGACACUACAGAGGCCUAUGCUGAAUUAACUGCAUAUUUCUAUUCAAAUCUUAGCUUUUUGGAUGCGAAUAGAUUCUCUUUCAGCGUUAAAGACCAAGACUAUGUUGUGGAUAUGAAUAUGCUAGCAGAUGUGUUAGAAGUUGAAAGAGGAAGAUAUCAACCAAUCAAAGUUUCCAUUGCUCGGGCCACACUUGAAUUGGUGAAGGACAGGAGAACAGAUGAAAAGAUCACCUACUUAAGGAUGGGUGCAUUCAACAUCUUGCUUCACAAGAUUGUGAUUAAUUGCCUCCGACCGAAAUCAACUUCCAAGACUGAUGUUUCAAGUUCAGAGGCCAAGCUGAUGUAUGCCAUUCUCUUUGGAAAAAGGUUUUCUCUCCCUCACACUGUUAUGUUUCACAUGUAUAGAGCAAUGAUGAAGGACAGAGGUCAACUCCCUUACCCAAGCCUUGUUACGAAGUUAUUCAGACAUUUGAAUAUUCAGCCUCCACAAAUCUUUUGUGUUCGACCAUGCGAUCAUAUGGUGGUAGGACUGAAAAUGGUGACCAAAAUGCGUCUGAAGGAACUGAGCAAGGAGUUGGAGAAAUUCAAGGAGAAGACUCCUGCCAAAUCUCAUCAAAUCUCUUCUGCAGCUAAAAGAAAAGGGAAGGAGCCCAUGGUUGCUCCAUCCAAGAGAAGAAGAGCUCUCCUCGUUGAGGAUGAAGAUGAUGAGGAAGACAUCACCAUCUCUGCAAUGGCUUUGAAGAAUUUAAGUCGUCCUGCUCCACAGAAAGAAUCGGAACAAAUGACGAAAGAAGCAGAGGAGAAGGAAGAAGAAGAAAGAGAAGCUGAAAAAGAAGCAGAGGAGGAAAGACCUGAAGAAGAAAGAAGAGAAGAAGGAGAACUUGAGGAACACUCUUCUCCACCUGUAGGCAUGGAAACAGGGGGAGAUCAGGAGAAAGGAGUGAAGUCUUCAUAUCCUGAUGCAAGUGAAGGAGUCAGUCGCUCACCUGCAGACCCAUAGGAUGUUUAUGCCUCUCAAUUUCCAGAAGAAGGUCAUGAAGUUUCAUCACCAAACCUGCGAGAUUAUGCUGAUCUACCAUCAUCUGCAUUUACUCCAUCAGAUCGAGCCGAAGCAAGUACUCAGACUGAUAAUGGAGCAGAUUUUCGCCGAAUCAUGGAUAUUCUCUUGGAGAUGCGAGGUCAAAUUUAUGCCUUGGGAUGCGAGGUUCAAAGCUUGAAGAAUGAAGGUCAAGCUUCUUCCUGUUCAUUGAAUGAUAAGAUGCAAGCCCUCUCUGUUCAGAAUCAGGCCAAUGCCAAGAGUGAGGAGAUUGCACAACUGAAGGAAGACUUCAAAAGGCUGGGAGGCAUCGUUCAGUCUAUGGAAGAUUUCCAGCUUGUCUGCGUUCCUAAGCAAUCUUGACUACAUCUCAUCCUUUUUAAUGAUGAAAAAAAGGGGGAGAGAUGCAAGAUUUGAUCAAAUUUUCAAUCAUUAAACUUUUAAUCGUGUGUUUUGUUGGAUUGUUUUGUUGUUUAAACUCUGUUUGACUUUGUUUUGUGUCUGGAUGAGAACUGAACUAGACUUGGACUUGACUGCUUUUAUUAACUAGUAUUGAUAUCUUAUGGAUGGCUUUGUCGUAUACAAGACUAACCUAUUUUCUGUGGUUGCAGAUUCUAGUGUUAUUCAUUUAAGCCAUUUAUCUCUAUAAGAUAUGCAUAUGUGGUUGAGAAAUGUUUUGCAGGUCAAAGUUAUCCAAAUCUGCAGGAAAGUUUUGUCACCAUAAAAAAGGGGGAGAUUGUUGGAGAAAUCUUCCUGAAGUGUUUUGAAGUUGACAAAACGUUUCUAUCAGUCUAGUCUGAAGGCUUGCAGACUCUGUUAUUUAAAGUCUGAAGACCUCCGGACAGCCAGACUCAAGACUCAAAGUCUAUCCUCAUUGAUAGUCUCUAAUCCGUUGAAGAAAGGUUAUCCAGAACUGGAUGUUUCGUUAAGGAUUUAACCUUAUCAACUGGAGAAGAUCUCGUGGCUGGAAAAGACAUAACGGAGUCCUUUGAUUGAUCGAAGAUUGACUCGAUAAUUGAAGAUCCGGUGAUUGUCUAAAUACUAUUGGAAGGUUCUACUUAUGGAAACCGAGAUCCUAAUUGUAUGGGCGAACAUGAUUGAUGGGCUAUCAACACGUUCAUUUAAUAGCUUGAACAAUCUUCCUAAUUGAUUCCGUCCAACGGGUAGAUUGGAGGAAUUCCUUUGGUAAGUGCCAACGGGUAUGAUGGCAUAAAGGAGUAUAUAAGGAAGACGGUCUUAGUUGUUCAAGGAGUGCGCGAUAGAAGAAUUCCAAAGUCUGAAGCUCCUUUUUGUUUAGACAAUUCCUUUGAGCGAAUACUUGUAUACAAAAGAGAGUCUAUAUUUGUGAUAAAUCUUGAGGAGGUGUGGUAGAACAUCUACACUGUGGAAUCAAGGCAAAGCUGUGCUGUAACUUCUCUUUUGUUCAUAGUGGAAUCCAGCCAAUAGACUGUCAGUGAAGAAGAGUGGACGUAGGCUUGAUAUAAGCCGAACCACUAUAAACCGCGUGUUCAAUUUUCUCUUCUCUCAGUCUUACUUUGAUUAUUGUUUGUCUAAAAUCCAUCAACUGUCUAGUAUUGUGCGAUUGUUGAAGAAAAAUCUUUUAUAUACCUAUUCACCCCCCUCUAGGUACUCAUACUAGCAAUAUCAGGUGCAACUCUUCUUUGAGUCCAGCUCUCUAAACCCAUCCUUGAACAAAACCCACAUUACUCUCAUUCCCAAGUCCCAAAACCCAGAAAAGUUAGAGCAAUUCAGACCCAUCAGCCUUUGUAACUUUGCCUACAAGAUCAUUUCUAAGGUACUUACCAACAUAUUAAAACCUUUACUACUAGACAUCAUUGAAGCGGAGCAAAGUGCCUUUGUGGGGAAUCGGCAAAUUCAGGAUAAUAUUUUAAUCGUACAAGAAGUCAUACACAAACUACACACUAGAGACAGAAGGAAAAAAUUCCAGACUAUCCUUAAAAUUGACAUGCAGAAGGCUAACGAUCGAAUAAAGUGGGAUUUUCUACAAGCGUGUCUACCCAAGAUGGGCUUUCGUGAAGAAUGGGUGAGGUGGGUUAUGCAGUGUGUCACAACGGUGUCCUAUAGUAUUAAGUUUAAUGGGGAGUCUCUACCAGAUUUCAAGCCUACUCGUUGUAUUUAUCAGGGUGAUCCUCUAUCUCCGUAUCUAUUUAUAAUAGUGGCAAAUGUCCUCUCUAGAUAAUGAAGGAAGCUCUCGCAGCAGACACCCUCCAUGGUAUUAAAUUAAACAAACAUUGCCCAACUCUCUCACAUCUAUUAUUUACAGAUGACUCCAUCUUUUUCUUGGAUGGUACAAUUGUGGAAUGUUAGAACUUGGCGAAUAUGCUCAACUAGUACUGUUAUGCAUCAGGUCAGGCUAUUAACCUAAAUAAAUCUGAAAUUUUUUUCAGUAAAGAUUGUCCAGAUAGCCUUCGAAGAAACAUGGUCUCAAUGCUGAGAGUCCCUGAAAUUGCUAAAACCGGAAAAUAUUUAGGGAUUCCUUCAGACUGGGGGACAUCGAAAAAGGACAUGUUUUCCUAGAUACUAGCCCGAGUAAAUAGGAAGUUGGAAAGUUGGAAAGAGAAUCUACUUUCACAUGCUGGUAAGGAAAUACUCCUCAAGUCAGUUGUGCAGGCUAUACCUCAAUAUGCAAUGUCAAUUUUCAAAAUCCCCUUAUCUAUUGUUAGAGCUAUAGAGAAGAAAAUUGCAAACUUCUGGUGGAAGAAUAACAGCAAGAUAGUUGGUCUGUACUGGAGAAAGUGGGAAGUUCUUAAACUUUGUAAGGCGGAAGGCGGUCUUGGCUUUAAGGACCUCAUUGACUUUAAUACCGCAAAGUUAGGUAAACAGGCUUGGUGGAUCUCUCAACAACUGGAUACCCUAUGGAGCCGAUUUAUGAAAGGCCUUUAUUUCCCAAAUUGUGACUUUUGGAAGGCUGGUAGAGGGUCGCGUCCAUCAUGGGGCUGGCAGAGCUUACUAGCAGGGCGAGACGCCAUAGCUCCUCAAGUGAAAUGGGUAGCAAAUUUCAAUUCAUGAGGAUAAAUGGAUGAAAAUUGGUCCGAUUGGAGGAUGUCUGAGGCAGAAUGAACCCAUCAAAGUGGCGGAUCUGAUAGAUAUUGAAGCCGCAACAUGGAGGGAAGACCUUUUGCGCUCCAUGUUUAAUGAUACCCUAGUGGCAAAAAUUAAAGCUAUCCCUAUUGGCUUGCUAAGCACAGCAAAUAGACUGGUGUGGGAAAACAACAAAUUCGGACACUAUACUAUUAAGAGUUGAUACUUUCACACCAGAAACCAAAACAGAAAGCAUAACGGUUCUCUGCCUACAACAUCUCACCAGAUUGACCAACACCUAUGGAAGCACAUAUGGCAAUCUAACAUACAACCCAAAAUCAAGUUCUUCCUAUGGAGUGCCUGUCACAAUUGUCACGCCCCGAACCUCAGGCACGCGCACAUCCUUUACAUUUGGUCGAUUUUAAAAUGCGAUAUCCCAGGACUAAGUAUCGCCGACCCUUUCAUUUUAAAUAUGCACAUGCGGAAGCAAUUAUAAAUCCCCAAACAAUAAAACAAUGUGAUAGAAAAGCAGGCCAUAUAUUUUUCUUACUGAAAAUUCACAACUACAUCUUUUUACAUGCAUCUCAUAGUAUUUUACAAUACUAUAUAUACACAACUCUGAUCUAACGUCUAUUCACAUGCAAACAAGGUCUGACAAGAUAGGACGGGAUCUCAAUCCUCAUCCAGGUCGUACCCGGGGUUAUUCUCAGGGUCCUCCUCCACGUACUCCUCUUCGGGUUCCUCAACAGGGAUCUCCUCAUCAGAUUCAUGCUCCUUAGGCUCCUCAUCCAGGUCCUGAAAUGGUUAUUCAAUAACCACUGAGACAACGUCUCAGCAAGUUCUACCCCCUAAGACCCGAUUAGUAAACCAUUAUACUAUAGGCUGCCUAAACACGCACAGGGCAGAUGACUUACCUUGGCCUCAGAUUCCACCUGCAUAUUAGCACAGUUUAAUAGGCACCCAAGCAAUCACAUCACAAAUCGAUAUCUCAAUCACUCGACCCAGUCGAUUACACGCCAACAAGACCACUCACGGUCCUUUCCAUUCAAUCAAUCAAUUCACAACAUCAAAUCAAAGUAAUGAUCAAUUGACUUAGUCGAUCACAUGUCAACACGACCCAUGCUUGGUCGGCACAUUCCAUACUAUCUAUAAAGUCCUAUCAAAUCAGGACUGCUUACCCAAAGUUGACAAUUAGAUAGUAUAGCUCGCCCAAAGCUGAUAAUAAAGUAUACUGCUCACCCAAAGCUGACAUAUCACCCGUAGGUCGAUAUAGUAUACUGGUAUACUGCUCACCCAAAGCUGAUAAUAAAGUAUACUGCUCACCUAAAGCUGACAUAUCGCCCGUAGGUUGAUAUAGUAUACUGGUAUACUGCUCACCCAAAGCUGACAUAUCGCCCGAAGGCCGAUAUAGUAUACCAUAUGCUCACCCAAAGCUGAUAAUAAAGUAUACUGCUCACCCAAAGCUGACAUAUCGCCCGUAGGUCGAUAUAGUAUACUGGUAUACUGCUCACCCAAAGCUGACAUAUCGCCCGAAGGCCAAUAUAGUAUACCCCCGAUGCUCACCAGAAGCUGCCAGCUAUACCUUUAUAGUAUGCCGAAAAUAAUCAUUUAAUCAAAUCACCAUUUUUAUCAUUUCUAAUAAAAAUACCAGUGUGGGCACACGAACGGCCUUAGCCAAAAUAAUAUAAUUUCCUUUCCACAAAACCCACAAUUAUCUGAAGUCCACCAAAACACUUUUGGUGCUGUCAACCGACACCCGGUUAUUUUCCAUUAUUAAUCAAAGAUUAUUCCAUUAAAGAAUAAUUCACAAUUUCACAAAUAAUUCAAUUCAGUACAAAAUAAAGCACAAUUAAAUAAAUGAACCGCGCCACGACAAUCAGCACCAAAUUCCGGUCGCUGGCCAUCCCAGUUGAAUUUUCGGAAAAUAAAUAAUUAAACAAUUAAUUUCGAAAAUUAAAUAAAUACAUACAAUAAAUUCGAUUUAGCAUAAUAUAAAGCUCAAUUAAAUAAACGGACUGCACCACGAUCAUCAGCAUAAAAUUUCGGUCACUGGCCAUCUCAACCUUAAUUUCCGAAAAUAAAUUAAAUAACUAAUAUUAAAAACUCAAUUUAGCUCAAAAUAAAGCCCGAUUAAAUAAAUGGACUUCACCACGGUCAUCAGCAUAAUAUUCCGGGCACUAACCAUCCCAGUUGAAUUUUCGAAAAAGAAAUAAUUAAUUAAUUUAAUUCCGAAAAAUAAUAUUUAAAUACCAAAAAUCUCACUUAUGCCCGAAUUGCCUAAUUAACACCCGAUAAGGGUCGGGAAAAAUCCCACGAAGUAUCCAAUAAAUACUAUAGGCAAUUCUCUACUAAUUACACUAAUCACACAACUAAUAUGCAAAACAAUUAACUAAUAAUCACUAAUCAAUUCUAAUCUAACAACUUAAUUACACUUAAUUAACACUAAUCAACCUUUAAGUAUAAUUAGUACACUAAGAAGGCAUCAGUGAGUAAAACUCACUCAAAACGAUGGGCUCGACGCGAGGAUCGACUUUCCUCAAAGUGGGCCGAGCAUCCGGGCUCGGGAAGGUGGCCAAAACGGGCCAAAACCCCACUGUCAUACCCAUUUCUGCAACCCUCUGAUCGCUGCUUGCAGGGGCGGUUCCGGCGUCAGAUGAGGUGGCCAAGGGCGGCUGAGGGCGAGGCGGAGCUCCGGCGAGGUUGACGGUGGCUGGAGGAGGUCGGGUGGCGGCCUGAGGUGGCCAAACGAGACCAACCAGAGGUGAAACAGAGGCUGGGCAGAGGAGGUAGCUCGACUUGACGAGGCGAACGGCGUUCGAGCGGGCGAGAGGGAGACGAACGGCGGCGAGGCGGCGUGCGGCGGCAAUGGCAGCUCCGGCGCGAUUGCAGCUCCUUCAAGCAACGCCGAUCGUUGCUUCUACUUUUGCUGGUCGGUUCUAUUCGAACUAGAGGGAGGAGAGGGAGCGGAGAUGCGUGGACGGUAGCAUUGCGGCGGGCUCGGCGCGCGAGCAGCUCCGGUGCUUGUGGGCGUGCAAUGAUGACGGCGAGAGGCGGCAACGGGUGGAGCUGCUGCUGCUGCUUCGGCUUCUUCGGUUGUUGCUGAAGAAGAAACCCCAAAGAAAGGGGAAGAAGAUGGAGAUGCAGGGGAGAGAGACAGCGACGAGGAAGAAAAGGGGGAACCGGUUUCCCCUUUUUCCUCUCUCACUCUCUCUCUCUCUUAUGUCAUCCGCACGUGGGCCACCAUGGGCUGCCCUCCACUCACAAUUCAAAGACAAAUUUGCCCCUUCUAGAAGCAUUUAGGUAGGCCAAAAUAUGGGGUAGAGGUGGCAUACGAAUUUUGCUAAUUUUUCUUCCCAAUUGGACCUUAAUCCCUCUUGAUUCAAUUUAAAUUGACUCCCAUAAUUUCAUUGAAUCACCUCGUCAUUCCAAUUGGUAUUUUUCCCUAUCAAUAUAGCCCACUUGCAUCCCAAUUUCACAAUCCCUAGCUUCAACUCAACAAAAACGGCCCUAUUUAUCCAAUCGAAAUUAGAACCCGAAAAUCUGGAUGUCACAACAAUGCUCUGCCUACUUUAGAUAAUCUCUAUAGAAGGAAGAUUGUACCUGCUCCAUUGUGCCCACUCUACCAUCUAGAACCGGAGACUAUCGAGCACACCUUGCUGCUUUGCCCCUGGACCUCUCAAAUAUGGACUAAACCUAUCCUACAAGUCCAAAUUAACAGAAUGGGCCUUACAUGUUUUUAUGACUGGUUGAGCAAGUUUAUAGCUAGACCAGCGACAUCACGUCGUUUUGAGCUGGUUGCAAAUGUCGUAUGGUGCAUUUGGAAGGAUCGUAACCACUUCAUUUUUAGGAAUAGCCCACUCAAUCCUCAUCAAACUCUGUUUAAAGCUACAAUGCUCCAAACAAGCUUUACAACAUGGAAUGCCAAGGCGCACAAAAGAAUGCAAGAUCAAGCCAUACCUUGCAAGUGGUAACCACUGCCCCCAGGAACCCUCAAAAUCAAUAUUGACGCUUCGUUUGACAUUGCCUGCAUAGCCAACACUUCCACUGAAUUUCACAAUCAAAACUUGAGGUAUGUUGAUGACAAUGGUGCAAAUUCUGACCUGGGUUUAGCUUCAGCUUGCCAAGAUGCACUGGCCCAACAGAGUGAUCCCCUAAUCUUUCCCCCCAUGUUGAUUGACAAGGUGGCUGACAAAGACCCGGUAAACGUCCCAAAGGAACCACUUUUUGUUUGGAUGGUUAGUGAAUAUAGAGAUGUGAUGCCUUAACUAGACAUGAGCAACAACUUGAACACCAGCAGAGCCCCACCCAAGCUGCUAGGCCGUGUUCGAGCGAUCGAUCAUGGAAAACGUCCUCUGGAUAGUAGUCCAACUGAUAUCUGUCCUGCAGCAGUUAUACAUCUAAACAUCACUAGUAGCUAUUCUGGAGCAUAUAACCGGGAACGAGAUCACAAAAGGAAGCCCCACAGUUAUGUUUCCCCUGCCCUGUACACCAGCACGCACGAAAUAACUAGAGCUUGUUCCCACCUCAUAUGCACAAACAAAGUAGUAAGAUUUGAAUCAACUCACCUUGGCCACGAUAGAUUGAAGGAACCGCAGAUGUCCAAGCUGAUUAACUGUUGUCCCUGCACAUGUUUGCCUCGGUUGCUAAGCUCCUACGAUGAGCAUGAUUAUGGCAACCUCCCCUUAUCCAGUGACAUCAAAGCUGACAGACCGGUUGGAUCUACAAAUCCAACCCCUGAAAUCAGAUCUAUGGACUUAGUCGACACGAAAACGCAGCAGAACUGUAAUUGCAGGGAAAAAUCCCCUCAUCUCAGGAUUAGUGACUUGGAAGAGAGGAUUAAGGACAAAUGUUACCUAAACAGCAGCGAUGUAGAUCAUGGCCUAUCCCGCGCCAGUCCUUCCCUGCACAGUUCAGAUCUAAGCCAUCAGAUCCAUCGCUACCUCUAUAUAGGGUCCAAAGAAAUACCCCCUUCCUGUGCCAAGCUAGAUGGCGAUAACCUCCCCAUUACCCGAGAUACCCAGGCUAAUCGAUCUGUUUCUUUUUCAAACACUAAUCACGAUUUCAGAUCCUCGGAUAUUGUCUCACCAACUCUGCAUAUGGACAGCAGAAGCCAAAACAAAGCCCCCCCCCUUUCGGAUCCAGUAGAUCGGGUGAGAAGCUUUAGGCCAGGUUCCUCCCUAACAACAGCCACACCGAAGACGGACUCGCUGCCUCUCCCGGUCAUGCUCUCUUCGAGUGCCAGACUGAAGGUUGCCCAAAUCUAGAACAGGAUCUCGAUCUACCUAGACGAAAGGACGAUCGUCUCUCUAGCACUUCACAACCACGGCGCUCUUCUCCUCGGGCUGCUAUUGCCUGCGUCUGUAGAGAUUCCGUUGGCAGGAUGCAGGGUGGGGUUACUAAACAUAUUGAGGUUAGUUCAGCGGAGCAAGCGGAGGCCUUAGCUUUGGUGGAAACCCUAGACUUUAUGUUGACGCCUAAAAUUAGUUAGGUUUUAUUUAGCUUUAUUUAAUUUUACUUUAUUUUAUUUUAUCUUUUCCGGAUAAUAAAUAACAAAGAAAAACAGAAAAAAACAGAAAAAAGCAGCCUCCGCAUGGGCCUUCGGCCCAUCUCCGCCUCAGCCCGGUCUGGCCGAGUCUUCUUCCUCCUUGCGCCACUGUAACGCACGCGCGUGCAGGCGCGACGCCGGAGAGGGAUGGACAGACGGCAUCGCACGUGGAGCGGGGGAGCAGUUGGCGUCGACGCGACGUGACCGGAGGAGGAGAUGAUGGCGGAUGGGACGGCGGCCCAACCGGCGGGUCGAAGCCUCGCCGACCGGCCGCUCCCGCGCCUAUAAAUAGAGGGGGGUCACCGUCGACGAAGGGCAGACACAGAGAGAAAGGAGGAGAAAAGAGGGAGGCGGCCAAAGCUCGGGGUCCCUGAGAGACUUCGGGGAGUUUGAGCGUAGGGUCGGCCGUGGCGUGGUGAGCUCGGAGGGGUCCCCGAGAGACUUUGGGGAGUUCGCCGAGCGAGCCCGAGGGAGAGAGAGGGAAACUCGGCGACAGAUCCGGCCAGAUCUGACCGUCCAAGAUCCACCGUCGCCGUCGUUGUCCGCCGCAGUCGUUGCCAUCAGUCUGCCAUUACCCUUGUUGCCGUCGCCUUUGCCGCGCCAUUGCCGAGCAGGUAUUGUGCCGUCACCAUCGUCGUCGCCCUUGCCAUCUCCUUCUCCGUAAGACCGGUCAUCAUCGCCGUCGCCGCCGUCUUCGCCAUCUUCGCCGCUGCUCCUCUUCGGCGCCCCCAUUUCGGAACCCUAGGGUUCCCGAUUUUCCGGGUCGCGAUCCCUGGUCAUCGAGUCGGACCCGGAUCGGGAACCGGGUAGGGAUUCCNNNNNNNNNNNNNNNNNNNNNNNNNNNNNNNNNNNNNNNNNNNNNNNNNNNNNNNNNNNNNNNNNNNNNNNNNNNNNNNNNNNNNNNNNNNNNNNNNNNNCGGGUCGGGUCGGGUGUUGGAGCCGAGUCGGGUUGGGAGUCGGGUCGGACCCGGGUAGGGUUUCGCUAGGAACCCGGGUCGUCGGGCCGGGCUGGGCGUACCCAAACGCCCGGCCACGGCAUCGUUUUGAAAAAAAAAGAAGAGAAAAAGCAGAAAAAUCCGAGUCGGGCCCGCAACGCGGGCCCGUCCGCGUUUGGGUCGCCGGCCCGGGUCGGACCCAACCCGCGGAUUCGACCCGGGCCGGUUUUGUUUUAUUAUUUUAAUGUAAAAUAGUAUUCUAAUAAAUAAUAAAUAAAUAAUUUAUUUUCAAAAAAAAAUCAAAAAUGUUUUAAUUUCCAGAAAAUCGAAAAAUAUUUAAAAAAUGUUGAAAAAUGUUUUAGUUUCUAAAAAAUCGAGAAAAAUCAAAAAUAGUUUAUUUUCCAAAAAUAUUUUGAAAAAUAUUAAAAAUAUAUUUUAUUUUCCGAAAAAUAAAAAAAUCAAAAAUAUUUCAUAUUUUCCAAAAAAUGCCAAAAAUCCAUAAAAAGCUAAAAAUUCAUGAAAAAGCCAAAAAUACUUCUAUUUUUCCAAAAAUACCAAAAAUCCAAAAAGCCCCUUUUAUGUCCAAAAAUUAGAAAAUGACUCAAAAAAAAUGUUUUUCCUCCCAAAAAUGCAUGGAAAAUCCCUCGAACAUCCAAAAAACCUUAGGGUUUAAACAAGAUUAGGUACCGAAAGGGCAUUAGUGAUUAACUAGUGUAAUCAAGUCCCCGAUCCUAAUUUCUCUGGUUGCGUAGGAGUGAGUAUUUCUCCCGAUACUUCACUUGGGUUUCUAAUCAACCCACCCCAAAUCGAUUAGUGGCGACUCCAAUUUAAAAAUUAAUUUACAGGUUAAAAACUCAGACCAUUAAGUCGUGAAUUGGUGGACUUGGGAGAGUCCGGGCUUAACUAAUUCCAGCCGAGCCAUUAGCCUCCUUAGGCGCUCGCACCCGAUUGCGGGCGCCGGAAAAAAAGAGGUCGCGACACUUUAUUUCUUCUACGCUCUCCCCAAAUAGUAUAGAAAAAAAAAAUUCCUGCUUCAGUCUGAUUGCUGUACACUGGUGGAGAGUGUUAUCACCUCAGCUCCGUCAAGUUGGCCUGUGCAACCUAUAGUGGACCGAGCAAAACAGAAAAUGGCGAGUAUAUCGGGUCUUAGUUUAGCCUACUGUAAUCGUGCCACCAACACGGUGGUUGAUUGGUUAGCAAAAGCCCACCGUUGGGGUUGUCUACCUAGGAACUGGAUUACCAAUCCCCGCUCUACUCUUUUAGAUUUACUUUGUACUGAUGUCCAUGCUGUAUCUGCUUCGAAUUUCAGUCAGUAAUGAAUGCAGCUUAUUUGUCAAAAAAAAAAAAAACUUUGAUGUUAUUCUUGAUAAGUCAUGCUUUUGCUUUUAAACUUUUCAACAAAACUUUGUUCGGCUGUAAUGCUACUUUUGAAGAUUCAGAUAAGACAUUUCCUACAUCCAUGAGUUGUCAUGAUUGUUAAGUUAGAGUUUCCCUUGCCUUGAGCUUAAUCUCGUUCACUUCAAUCAGAUAUUCCACUAUUUUCAUGUCUGAGAUACAAAUUGCUCAAGAAAUAAGAUUUCAGUUUUUUAAGUCUUUCGGGAUUCAAUAUUUCACUUUUAAUUUUUGUCUGAAAGACCUAAAGUGGAAGGGCCAAUUUAUGCCCAUUGGGGUGAGCCAUUGAAUAACCUUCUAUCUCCUAGAAUACAAUCAAUUGUGCUCAGAUGUUUUUUGUUUUUUUGUUUUUUUUGGGCAGAACGUGAUGACGAAUUGCCCCGUAGAUAUUGUCCACCAGUUCAUUAUGUAGUGAAGAUAAGUUCAGUUACGAAUUAUUAAAAUUGGACACCUAUGAAACCGGUAUUUUUAAAGCUGGGGCUACGACUGGUGAGUUAUCGAAUUUCCCUUUUGUUUCAUAUAACUCAAUGCUCGUAUCAUUUGGAGCCCUAAUGAACUCAAUCAAGAGAUACAAAGGUCAAUCAAUUCAUAGCUAAAUUAAACGUUUAAUCCGUCCUUUUCAAGAGCCUAUAUCUUCACCCCCAAGGGAUACAGGGACCGUGAGGGGAAGGUAUAUAUGUCCUUAUAUCUGUCAAUCGAGAAGCCAAGCCAAAUAAGCUUGGAGACCAUGGGAAGGUCGUGGUCAACUUCAAGUUUUUCGUAUUCGACAACAUUUGUGGGACCUACGUCACCUUCAAAGGUCGAUCAUCGUGUAUCAUGAUCAAUGACAAUGAAAUCACACUCCCGGUAAUGUCAUCAUAGUUUAGAAUUGACAACAAAGUUUAUAUCAACUUGUGGAAUUGUGUGUGCAGAGUAAGGGAAGGAACUGACGGCAUUCAGAAUAGCAAAGACCCAAUGGGGGCUUUCUAAGUUCCUUUCCUUGGGAAGUUUCAACAAUCCUGAACAUGGAUUCCACAAGGUCGAUUAUUGCAAAUUUGGGGCUGAGGUUGUGGUCAGCAAAAGUGAGAGGAAAAAGGAGACCCUUACCAUCGUCAAAGAUCCGCCUCACAACAAAACCACUUGCAAGAUCCCACAGUUCUCCACAUCGAACAACGACCCUUUGUAUUCCGACGCCUUUACCCUCGGAAGGAGGAAUUCGUACAUUCCCAAAACGAAAAAGUUGGUGAGGAAAUGGAAUUAGCUACUUGCCUUUUGCCUCUUUUUAAAUUUCAGAAAUAAAUACACGACAAGUCCUAAAAUUUGUCACAAAAAUAUAAUUAAGUUAUAAAACUUUUAAAAAGUUUGAUUAAGUCCUUAAACCUGCUAAGUUGGUGCAUUCAAGUUCUCUCAUCAACUUUGUUAAAUUUGAUAAAUGAAAAAUGCUAAUAAAUUUUAGAAAAUGUUAACAGGAUUUAGAAUUUGAUUGCACUAAUUUAACAAGUUUUAUGACUUGAAUACAUUUUUGAAAGUUUUAGGACUCAAUUGCACUUUCAUGAUAAAUUUUAGGAUUUCAUUGCACUUUUUUUUUAAAAAAAAAAAUUUUAGGAUUCAACUAUACUCUUGUGAACUUAUAUAUAACUAUACUCUUGUGAAAAGUUUUAAAAUCCGCUAAAACUCAUAUUUGUUUUAAUUAUGAUUAUCGUGUGUAGGAAGUUAAAGGUGUUUCCCCAGCGCAAUGGGGCGCAGGAGGGGAAGUCACUGUUCCUUUACUUACAAGCGCAGGCCUUCCUCUAAGGAUCAAAAUGUAUGUAAAAGCCAAAUUGCGGCUGUUGAACAAAAACGACCCUAGAAACGAUAAGGAAAAAACAGAUCGGAUGAGUCUAGAAAUUGAUUGCUUAUCUCUUGUUGAGGCAAUACGAAACCCUAAUAUGCCGCCAUGGAAAAUCAGACCUCUGAUUGAAGAAUGCACGGCAAUGCUUCCUCGAUGCCCUAAUCUUCAGAUAGCUCACUGCAAGAGGGAAAUGAAUAUGGUAGCAGACCGGGCCGCGAAGGCCCAUCGGCUUCUUUACUUCCUCCGGAUUGGGUUCACAAUCCUCCUUUGUUUUUGCGUGACCUGUUGUAUUAUGAAAUUAUGCAAAACGCUACUUCUAAUAUGCGUUAGUAAUAAUAUUAUCUUUUUCAGAACCAAAAAAAAGAAGAAGGAAAAAACAGCUAUUUUUUUAUUUUCUUUUUCUCUGUAACUGCUGUGUCUAGAUUGAGUUUUACUUUCUUUGUCUUUUAAAAAAAACAAUCAAUCUCUUACGAUGCACACACAAACGGGCUUACGCAUAUAUAUGUAAGUAUUACCAUACAUACAUCCUGCACAAAUUAAAAAGAAAACUAUGCAGAAUUUUUCCAAGAUCUUUAUAAAUGAAUAUCAUUCUUAUUUAAAGGAAAAUUUCCAAGUGGCUUUUAGGAAAGGGCUCAAAGCCCAAUCUAUUUGGCUUCCCAAACUUUGAGUAUCAUAACAACAAUCCAGAUAAGCAGACGAAUAUCUCCUUUUGAAAGAAUAAUGCUAUGUCUCUUCAUCGUUCCACAUUGAGUAUGAGUAUGCUAAUUAGAUAUGGCUACCUCUAUGAUUUAACAAAAAAAAAAAAAGAUUAGUACUCUAAAAAACUUUAAACUGAUAUACUUAUGACAAAUUUUCUUAAAACUACUUUUUUGAUUACCAAAACCUCUAAACUUGUACAUUAGCGAUAAAUUUAUCAAAAAAACCCCCAAAUUGGUCACUUGCUAGCUUCUAUUAAAUUUUACUAUGAAAUCAUUGAGUUGGAUAACACAUGGCAACUCCACAUGAAAAUUCAUAUAAAUUUGAGGUAAAUUAGCCACAUAUGUAUUAAUUUGGGAUUUUUUGUGAUUCGGAAAUAAGUUUAAGGCUAAAUUUGUCACUUAUGUACUAAUUUAAAGUUUUUCGUGAUAUUAAUUUUUUUUAAAAAGAACUAAUUAGUAUUUCUUUCGGGGCAUUGCAGUUAGUGGUUGGCUAUCUGCCAAAAAUUACAACUACGGUCGCCCAAACUUUAUGCCGUGGGGAGAUCUCGAGAAACCGAAUGGAGGGUUCGUUAACAAGAAAGAACUGGCAUUCGCAGUCGAAAUUUUCGUCAUAUCAGAUGUUGCGUGGUGUAAUGAAUCGGUUUGAUGACUUAACGUCGAUCUUUAUUGGGUCAGAAUUACUCCUCGAGAGCAAAGUGUGCGGACCAAAUUGGCGUAGACAAUGGUUCCCCCGAAAUCCUGUGAAUAUCUUCCUGAUUUGGUUUCUGAUUUGAUUAUUAGAUGGAGCGUUUGAUGCACCCAAGCUCCAGAUUUGUGUAUGGAAGAUACCUGGUAUGUCCACAAC
rnacentral:lncRNA from 1 species